UACGUAAGGUGCGAGCGUUGUCCGGAAUUAUUGGGCGUAAAGGGCUCGUAGGCGGUUUGUCGCGUCGGGAGUGAAAUCCACUGGCUUAACUGGUGGCUUGCUUUCGAUACGGGCAGACUGGAGGUAUGCAGGGGAGAACGGAAUUCCUGGUGUAGCGGUGAAAUGCGCAGAUAUCAGGAGGAACACCGGUGGCGAAGGCGGUUCUCUGGGCAUUAACUGACGCUGAGGAGCGAAAGCAUGGGGAGCGAACAGG
rnacentral:rRNA from 1 species